UGAUACUCUACACGAAACGUAGCAGCCAACCUCGUUCGUAUAUAAGGGUGUGGACGCUGGAGAGAGCCAGUGAGAGCGGCGACGCUCGUAGUAUCCAGUAGACUGACUCGAGCUUCGUAGGGACAGACAACACUUGCUAGAGGCCAGCCAUAGAGAAGACCUGCAGUGAGAGUGAUGGCUGGCUCCCUGCCCUGCUUGAUGCUGCUGGUGCUGCUACUCUCCUGGGCGCCCUCUCCUGCUCACUCUGAGAGCAGACGGCCUGGUCGUCACGGGAUUAGAGGGCAAGGAAGGCAGCCACCGACCUCUACAGGCGGUGGGGUUUUUAAACCCUUCUUUGUUGGCGGUCAAAACGCGAAUAAUCCGAGCACGGGAGCGUUGAUAUCUAACCCGUGGGGAGACUACGGCUACCGACCUCCCAUCGUCUUUGGCCCCAGGCGCCCCUCCUACGACUACUGGGACUACUGGUAUUAAUACAAAUACCAAUGAUGGUAUUAAUGGUAAUACCACAACUUUCACUCAUAACAAAGAUCAAAUCACACACUUUUGGUACAGAGGUAACACAGUUCCUCACAUGCCGGUAGUGGAUAUAAUACUGUUGCUCAAGAUACAUUAAGGUAUUAAACUCUCUAUAUUAAGCUGUUUUCACACAGGUGCCGAUAAUAAUAACGCUGUUUUGUCGUGAGUAGAUCAUCAGAUUUACAGACAUUGCUAAAAAUAAUUCUCAAAUACAUACAUGAAAUAUCGACCGCUGAUGCGUGCAUAUAUCUCCCUGGGAUGAACAUGCUCCCAGUCGGUCUGCUUCGAGUGCUGUUUUAUCUAAGUUUUUUUUAAUGAUGAAUUGUUAAAUAUUUGUUAAAUUGUUUGUAAAAACUUUUGGUUUUUAUACUGUUAACUACAUAAAUAAAAAAUAUUGAUGGUU